rnacentral:ncRNA from 1 species
UGUUCGGGACGACCUGAGCACGCAUCUGUUUUCCGGGGACGACCCCG